AUUCUCCCCCUGCUCCCGAUGGCGCUCCUGGAAGCUCUGCAACUAUGCUCCACUUCAAAUGGACCCAUAACUGGUGUUACACCCCCACUCCCUGCCACCACAAAUACUGAGUCCAUUCCAGGAAUAGAAACCGCCGAAGGAUUACAUUCUCCACGGAGAACGAUCUCUAUGAAGGUGUGCAAUGUCUGUGAAAUACGGUGCCAACAAAAGAAUUCCAAACUGUGGCAGUCUUUUCAUGAGAUAAUCACAUAUAAAAUCAGGAUUGUUUCUUUUACAAAUGGGAGUCUACGACGAAUCCAUUGUUCUUCAAAGGCAGGAAAGGGCUCUUACUUAUUAUUGGGCUAGUCCUCAUUACGGCCACCUGAAUGAAUCCAAAGUACUUCCAAAAAUAAAUGGUUUCAUGACUUUUGUAUGUUUAAACACCUAGGCUUUUGUUUAUUUUUUCAAGUCUGAUAUUUUCCACCUCAUUAUUCACCUCUUAAAACGUCUGUAUCCGGCUGGGCCAUUUUAAACAAGUUUGCUGAUGGCUUGCUUUGCCCUCCUGGAAUUGUUUGGUUUCCUUGUUAAGGUGAAGAAUGUUGUAAAAGGGGCAGUCUCCUAAGUUGUGACCUCAAAGGGUGGUGUCUGAAUCUCUCCUCUUUUGUGUCUGAUCAGGAAGAAGAUGGACAAUGUCUAUACGCCAUCUUCAGUUGGUAACGCUGUGGCAGUUAGCAUAACCAGUGCUAGGCAAGAUUCAACCGCACUGGCUGCGGUAUGCGUGGCCAACCGGAGUGAGGACAAAUCCCAUUCCGUCUGAAGACUGUCUCCUGCCAGAGAUCAAAUGCAGCUCGCACAUACAUGACACCAAGCAGAAGCAAGUACUAUUCCAUUACAAAUGAAGCAGAGAGAGCCAGAAUUAUUUGGUCAGCUUGGUAUUCAAAAUGGUUGAGAUUCUGACCUUCCCACUCCUUCCUUAAUUAUCUUGAUAAUUUUGGCAAGAGGAGGUUUGUGGGGUGGAGAGGGAUAAUUCUGAAAGAAUUAAAUAAUUAUAGCAGUCAGGAAAUCCAUCCAGGGUUUUAUAAAUUCCUGCAUAAUAGUUCAAAAUCUCUUGAUUUUUCAUCGUGUAUAAGCUAAAUUCAUUAGCACAUACCUUAGAUCAUCUGUUAGAUGCCUAGCAGUGUAAAAACACAGGGCCUGUGAAGUGUUUUUUUUGGUUUUGUUUUGUUUUUAAUCUUGACUUUUACAGAAUAAAAACUACCACCACCAACAACAACAA
rnacentral:lncRNA from 7 species